AUUGAACGCUGGCGGCAGGCUUAACACAUGCCAGUCGAGCGAGCGGCGGACGGGUGAGUAAUGUCUGGGAAACUGCCUGAUGGAGGGGGAUAACUACUGGAAACGGUAGCUAAUACCGCAUACCAUCAGAUGUGCCCAGAUGGGCUUAGCUAGUAGGUGGGGUAAUGGCUCACCUAGGCGACGAUACCCAGCUGGUCUGAGAGGAUGACCAGCAACACUGGAACUGAGACACGGUCAAGACUCCUACGGGAGGCAGCAGUGGUGAAUAUUGCACAAUGGGCGCAAGCCUGAUACAGCCAAGCCGCGGGUGUGAAGAAGGCCUUCGGGUAGUAAAGCACUUUCAGCGAGGAGGCGUUAAUCGCAGAAGAAGCACCAGCUAACUCCGUGCCAGCAGACGCGGUAAUAC
rnacentral:rRNA from 1 species